rnacentral:rRNA from 1 species
UGGUUGUGCACGUCCAAGCAGUUAGGCUGAUAAGUAGGCAAAUCCGCUUAUCGUGAAGGCUGAGCUGUGAUGGGGAAGCUCCUUAUGGAGCGAAGUCUUUGAUUCCCCGCUGCCAAGAAAAGCUUCUAGCGAGAUAAAAGGUGCCUGUACCGCAAACCGACACAGGUAGGCGAGGAGAGAAUCCUAAGGUGUGCGAGAGAACUCUGGUUAAGGAACUCGGCAAAAUGACCCCGUAACUUCGGGAGAAGGGGUGCUUUCUUAACGGAAAGCCGCAGUGAAUAGGCCCAAGCGACUGUUUAGCAAAAACACAGCUCUCUGCGAAGCCGUAAGGCGAAGUAUAGGGGGUGACACCUGCCCGGUGCUGGAAGGUUAAGGAGAGGGGUUAGCGUAAGCGAAGCUCUGAACUGAAGCCCCAGUAAACGGCGGCCGUAACUAUAACGGUCCUAAGGUAGCGAAAUUCCUUGUCGGGUAAGUUCCGACCCGCACGAAAGGUGUAACGAUUUGGGCACUGUCUCAACCAGAGACUCGGUGAAAUUAUAGUACCUGUGAAGAUGCAGGUUACCCGCGACAGGACGGAAAGACCCCGUGGAGCUUUACUGUAGCCUGAUAUUGAAUUUUGGUACAGUUUGUACAGGAUAGGCGGGAGCCAUUGAAACCGGAGCGCUAGCUUCGGUGGAGGCGCUGGUGGGAUACCGCCCUGACUGUAUUGAAAUUCUAACCUACGGGUCUUAUCGACCCGGGAGACAGUGUCAGGUGGGCAGUUUGACUGGGGCGGUCGCCUCCUAAAGUGUAACGGAGGCGCCCAAAGGUUCCCUCAGAAUGGUUGGAAAUCAUUCGUAGAGUGCAAAGGCAUAAGGGAGCUUGACUGCGAGACCUACAAGUCGAGCAGGGACGAAAGUCGGGCUUAGUGAUCCGGUGGUUCCGCAUGGAAGGGCCAUCGCUCAACGGAUAAAAGCUACCCCGGGGAUAACAGGCUUAUCUCCCCCAAGAGUCCACAUCGACGGGGAGGUUUGGCACCUCGAUGUCGGCUCAUCGCAUCCUGGGGCUGUAGUCGGUCCCAAGGGUUGGGCUGUUCGCCCAUUAAAGCGGUACGCGAGCUGGGUUCAGAACGUCGUGAGACAGUUCGGUCCCUAUCCGUCGUGGGCGUAGGAAAUUUGAGAGGAGCUGUCCUUAGUACGAGAGGACCGGGAUGGACGCACCGCUGGUGUACCAGUUGUUCUGCCAAGGGCAUAGCUGGGUAGCUAUGUGCGGAAGGGAUAAGUGCUGACAGCAUCUAAGCAUGAAGCCCCCCUCAAGAUGAGAUUUCCCAUAGCGUAAGCUAGUAAGAUCCCUGAAAGAUGAUCAGGUUGAUAGGUUCGAGGUGGAAGCAUGGUGACAUGUGGAGCUGACGAAUACUAAUAGAUCGAGGACUUAACCAUAUAA